GACGAACGCUGGCGGCGUGCUUAACACAUGCAAGUCGAGCGGUAAGGCCCUUUCGGGGGUACACGAGCGGCGAACGGGUGAGUAACACGUGGGUGACCUGCCCUCAGCUCUGGGAUAAGCCUGGGAAACCGGGUCUAAUACUGGAUAUGACUCCAUGACGCAUGUUGUGGGGUGGAAAGCCUUGUGCGGCUGAGGAUGGGCCCGCGGCCUAUCAGCUUGUUGGUGGGGUGAUGGCCUACCAAGGCGGCGACGGUAGCCGGCCUGAGAGGGCGACCGGCCACACUGGGACUGAGACACGGCCCAGACUCCUACGGGAGGCAGCAGUGGGGAAUCUUGCGCAA
rnacentral:rRNA from 1 species